UACGUAGGGUGCAAGCGUUGUCCGGAAUUAUUGGGCGUAAAGAGCUCGUAGGCGGUCUGUCGCGGCGGAUGUGAAAACCCAGGGCUCAACCCUGGGCCUGCAUUCGAUACGGGCAGACUAGAGUUCGGUAGGGGAGACUGGAAUUCCUGGUGUAGCGGUGAAAUGCGCAGAUAUCAGGAGGAACACCGGUGGCGAAGGCGGGUCUCUGGGCCGGUACUGACACUGAGGAGCGAAAGCGUGGGGAUCAAACAGG
rnacentral:rRNA from 1 species